GUGGCAAAUAAUUCACAAAGAGAAUUAUAUGGGGCAAUCCAAAUGUUAAGGUUAUAAUAGAAGAUGAUAGUGAUGAGUAAAAUUUCUUUGUGUAAGAUAUGUCUACUUAUCUUAUUCUAAGACAACCUUAUAUUAUAGCUACUUAUAUGGAAACAAAGGUCAUAGACAAUAGAUUGGCAUAUUCUUGGAUUAGGAGUUGAGAUGGAACAAGAACAGUAU
rnacentral:lncRNA from 1 species